UACAGAGGUGGCAAGCGUUGUUCGGAAUUACUGGGCGUAAAGGGCGCGUAGGCGGCCGUGUAAGUCUGGUGUGAAAGCCCUCGGCUUAACUGAGGAUCUGCACGGGAUACUGCGAGGCUUGAGUUCGGGAGAGGAAAGCGGAAUUCCGGGUGUAGCGGUGAAAUGCGUAGAUAUCCGGAGGAACCCCAGUGGCGAAGGCGGCUUUCUGGACCGACACUGACGCUGAGUGCGCGAAAGCUAGGGGAGCAAACGGG
rnacentral:rRNA from 1 species